rnacentral:rRNA from 1 species
ACCUCGGAUCAGGUAGGAAUACCCGCUGAACUUAAGCAUAUCAAUAAGCGGAGGAAAAGAAACCAACAGGGAUUGCCCCAGUAACGGCGAGUGAAGCGGCAACAGCUCAAAUUUGAAAUCUGGCCCCAGGCCCGAGUUGUAAUUUGCAGAGGAUGCUUNUGGCGCGGUGCCUUCCGAGUUCCCUGGAACGGNACGCCAUANAGGG